UACGAAGGGGGCUAGCGUUGUUCGGAAUUACUGGGCGUAAAGGGCGCGUAGGCGGUGUGUCAAGUCAGGCGUGAAAGCCCCGGGCUCAACCUGGGAACAGCGCUUGAGACUGGCACGCUCGAGUUCGGGAGAGGAUGGUGGAAUUCCCAGUGUAGAGGUGAAAUUCGUAGAUAUCGGGAGGAACACCAGUGGCGAAGGCGACUACCUGGCCUGUUCUUGACGCUGAGGCGCGAAAGCUAGGGGAGCAAACGGG
rnacentral:rRNA from 1 species